GGCGUUCUGUCAGACUCGUAUCCGAUGAGAGGCGUACAGAUGGCAUCAGCGAUCUGCCCGACCAGCAGCAGCACACCUGCAGCACAGACAGACAACAGCUGGUCCAGAGGAUCAAGUGAGAUAAUUCGUGGCUCUACCUGUGGAGAUGAAGCCAGGAACACCAGCAUCUUCCACAACAUCACCUCAUGAAGGACAAUGGAACAAAAAUAGUUAGGAACUCCUCCUCCUCCUGCAUGAGACUGUGGUGGGCCUAAACAGCUCCCACCAUGUAAGAAGGAGCUCUACCACAGAUCAGACAUUCCCAUGAGCCUCAGUUGUACUUUGUGUACUAUGCUAACAUACUAAACUGAGAUGAACAGCUUGGUAACGUCAGACUUCAAAACAACUGCUGCAGCUUCAGUCUUCACUGAACAUUUUCAUGCUGCAUUCAUUUCUGGUGUUACAGAUCAAAUCAACAUUACACUUUAAUCUCAACUGAUUGUUCACUUUAUGCAUGAACUGUUCUGAUGAAACUGAAAGUUAAAAAUAUAUGCUUCUGUUUCCACCUUGAGGGAUUUAUACUGUUCAUUAUCCCCUGAAAUAAAGAUCAGCUGUGGUUUUGUUUGGUUGUUUUUUAAUGGAGUUAUCCGCCUUUCCAUCCUCCAACCCAGAGAGAAAGAGGAAAAAAAACAAAACAAAACAACAGAAAUUUUAAAAUACAAGUUAUUAAAAAAAAUACAUUUUGAGGAACACACUCGAAACUACAAAACACAAACUUUUUGAACAACUCAAAAAGACAGAAAAAUAACAGGUUCCAAAUCAUAGACAGUCUUUUUAGUUACAAAUUAAAACAGGAAAAAAGCAUAGUUUUCACAUAAACAUCUUCUUUAAGUUUUGAUUCUGGUGGUUGUGAGGUUUUCCUCUGAGGGUGAACGAUUCGAAGAAAUACACCGAGCCCGAUCCGCUGCAGGAAAUAGACCGAGCUGCUCGUGUUGUACUUCCAUCGACCCUGGGGGAUAAAAACUUUAUAGACUAUGUGCAAGAGCUGCAUCUUUGUAUCCAUGAAGUCUCUUUGUGAUGAGCUCGAGAAAAGUGUGCAGUGUGUUUGUACAUAUAUGUAUCAGUGUGUGUGUGUGUGUGUGUGUGUGUGUGUGUGUGUGUGUGUGUGUGUGUGUGUGUGUGUGUGUGCGCGCGCGCAUGUGUGGUCCGACGGUCUCAUUGCCUCUCGGCCUUUUGUUGUCCUCUCUUCUGUGUUUCCUCAGAAACACACUUCUCUCUCCUCUGAACCAGUCAGUAAGGAAGAAAAACAAACAAACAAACAAACAAACAAAAACAGAGCGAGGCCAAUCCGUCAGCUGGAUCCAGUUUGUCGGCCAAUCAGCUCGCCCGUAGUCCAUCAACUUGUCUCUUGUUUCCCACAGCAGUUUGUGUUGAUCCAGUUUCAGUUCAGUUUGUAAAAUACAUGAAGACUCCACCACUGGUCAGCUAGUCCACAUUUAAAGCUCCGAGGUGGAACAGCAAACACAUGUUACUCUGUCUGUCCGUCUGGCACCAGGACCAGGAGAAACCAGUAGAUCAGCUUAGCAAACAUAUCUUACGCCGCUCGGUGGUCCAGCCAGUCCAGCCGACCCAAGGUAGACUACAGGACCCCCGACAGCAGAGGAGGAGGGUCAGAGGGGGAGGGUGAAGAGAGGGUUAUAUGAAGAGGAGAGAGAGAGAGAGAGAGAGAGAGAGAGAGAGAGAGAGAGAGAGAGAGA